UACGUAGGGGGCGAGCGUUAUCCGGAAUUAUUGGGCGUAAAGAGUGCGUAGGUGGUUUCCUAAGCGCGGGGUGAAAGGCUAUGGCUUAACCAUAGUUAGCCUUGCGAACUGGGAGACUUGAGUGCAGGAGGGGAAAGCGGAAUUCCUAGUGUAGCGGUGAAAUGCGUAGAUAUUAGGAGGAACACCAGUGGCGAAGGCGGCUUUCUGGACUGUAACUGACACUGAGGCACGAAAGUGUGGGGAGC
rnacentral:rRNA from 1 species